CAUUUGCAGCUUUCAAAUAGGUGAAACUUCUUCUCUUUUACCUCCCAACUAAAGAAUUCCUCAGAUUCGUCUCCAAAUUCCUUCUCCAUUUUCGUCUCUGGUCUCUUCAACAUGCACAAAUCUGCAGCCAACCUUUUCAAGAAAACCCGCCGCUUCGCCGACUUCCAUGUCGAGUGGCUCAACGCCCUCGAGGGCACCCUCCUCCCGCUCCUCCGAGACUCCUUGUCCUCCUCCUCUUCGUCCACGUCGACCCAGUUGUCCUCCGCCGUCCACUCCCUCCACCGCCACCUCCAGUCCUACUACUCCGCCCUCAACCUCGCCGCAUCCUCCUCCUCCUGCCAGCUCCCUCAGCUGCUCUACCCUCCGUGGCGCAACUCCCUCGAGAGGCCCUUCCUCUUCCUCGGCGACCUCCACCCUUACAUCUUCACCACCCUCCUCCGCUCGCUCCUCGAAAACGACGACCACGACAGCGACGACGAAUGCGCCGGCGUCUUUCUUGAAGAAAACUGCAACCACCUUCUGGGCAGGCCGUGGCAGGUACUGACGGCGUGGAAGAACCCUAGCAAGUACACGAUAUCCCGGAUCGAGCAGAUCGAGUGCGGGGUCCGGCUGAUGGUGCCAGCCCUGUGGGACCGGGCCAAGGCCGAGCAGGCCCGCCUCGCGGACCGUGUGGCUGAUCAGUGGACGAGAGCGUCCGGCGAGAAGACCAAGGACAUGACGGCGGUGCUAGGGAAGGCCGCGGCGGCCACAACACAGGGUUUGGCGGGCGUUUUCUUGGAUGCCAACAGGCUGAGGAAGAGCGUGCUGGCGGAUAUAAUGAGCGCAACCAAUGUGUACCAGGCGGGUCUGUUUCUUGAAGCUUUGGCCCAAUUUCUUGUUGGGUUGAGAGACCCGGAAUUGCUGGAGAAGUUCCAGCAUUGCCCGGUGAAGAUGCGUUGAUGAGGACUCGACUUUCCAUAAUUUAGGGUUUAUUUAAGCUGUUGAUUUUCUUUUGGAGGAUUUGGAGUGGGACCUUUCUUUUUUUUUCCGCAUGGGGACGAAGGGAAAAGAAGGCCAGCUAUGAUGCCCCGACUGAAUGUUCGUUGCGGCGGGUGCUCCGAACCUUUUGAUGGCGGUGUCCUUGGAUUGCCGAUUAAUUUGGUGUGAGCUCGCGAUUUUCCUCCCCGAAUCAAUUCGAAUAGAGUAGUAGUGACUUCUUGUUUGCGAUCUUAGUUUUUCAUUUCUUUUCGUGGGCAAUGUUUGCCUCCCUGAAGUUUUGGAAGGGACAGAUGGAAAUGCAAGUCCCUGGAUUUUUGCUUCGCAGUGUUUGAUCAGGUCAAUUUUCGAGUACAUUUACUGGGUUUGAUUAGUCUUUUCUCCUUUUUGUGCUGAG